UUCCUCAGUUAUGGAAUGAUUUAUCCUAGCAAAUUGUUGAGUUACAGAUGUGUGCGCUAUUUAUCAACUGCUAGCCUCGUAAAUAAUCUUCAAAGUGAGCGACGCAAAGAAAACGUUUUCCACUUUUAAAAUAUUAAGCUCCCGGUGUUGACGUCAUUACUCAACAGAAGCCGGUUCAACACGCGCAGCUCCUGUUCAUGACGUCAUCACUAAACUGAAGCCAGCUGAACACGCGCCGCACGGAUGGUACC